rnacentral:rRNA from 1 species
UACGUAGGGGGCAAGCGUUGUUCGGAAUUACUGGGCGUAAAGGGCACGUAGGCGGUACAGCAAGUCGGGAGUGAAAGCCCGGGGCUCAACCCCGGAAUGGCUUUCGAAACUGCUGAGCUAGAGUACAGAAGGGGCAACCGGAAUUCCCAGUGUAGCGGUGAAAUGCGUAGAUAUUGGGAAGAACACCUGAGGCGAAGGCGGGUUGCUGGGCUGAUACUGACGCUGAGGCGCGAAAGCCAGGGGAGCAAACGGG